UACGAAGGGGGCUAGCGUUGUUCGGAGUUACUGGGCGUAAAGGGCGCGUAGGCGGCCUGGUCAGUCUGGUGUGAAAGCCCGGGGCUCAACCCCGGAAUUGCACUGGAGACGGCCAAGCUUGAGUGUGGGAGAGGAUGGUGGAAUUCCCAGUGUAGAGGUGAAAUUCGUAGAUAUUGGGAAGAACACCGGUGGCGAAGGCGGCCAUCUGGACCAUUACUGACGCUGAGGCGCGAAAGCGUGGGGAGCAAACAGG
rnacentral:rRNA from 1 species